rnacentral:rRNA from 1 species
UACGGGGGGGGUAAGCGUUGUUCGGAAUUACUGGGCGUAAAGGGCUCGUAGGCGGCCAACUAAGUCGGACGUGAAAUCCCUCAGCUUAACUGGGGGAACUGCGUCCGAUACUGGAUGGCUUGGAUUUGGGAGAGGGAUGCGGAAUUCCAGGUGUAGCGGUGAAAUGCGUAGAUAUCUGGAGGAACACCGGUGGCGAAGGCGGCAUCCUGGACCAAUAUUGACGCUGA